GUAGGUGGCAAGCGUUGUCCGGAAUUAUUGGGGCGUAGAGCGCGCGCAGGCGGUUCUUUAAGUCUGAUGUGAAAGCCCACGGGCUCAACCGUGGAGGGUCAUUGGAAACUGGGGAACUUGAGUACAGAAGAGGAAAGCGGAAUUCCACGUGUAGCGGUGAAAUGCGUAGAGAUGUGGAGGAACACCAGUGGCGAAGGCGGCUUUCUGGUCUGUAACUGACGCUGAGGCGCGAAAGCGUGGGGAGCAAACAGGAUUAGAUACCCUGGUAGUCCACGCCGUAAACGAUGAGUGCUAAGUGUUAGGGGGUUUCCGCCCCUUAGUGCUGCAGCUAACGCAUUAAGCACUCCGCCUGGGGAGUACGGCCGCAAAGGCUG
rnacentral:rRNA from 1 species